rnacentral:rRNA from 1 species
GUUAAGCGACUAAGCGUACACGGUGGAUGCCCUGGCAGUCAGAGGCGAUGAAGGACGUGCUAAUCUGCGAUAAGCGUCGGUAAGGUGAUAUGAACCGUUAUAACCGGCGAUUUCCGAAUGGGGAAACCCAGUGUGUUUCGACACACUAUCAUUAACUGAAUCCAUAGGUUAAUGAGGCGAACCGGGGGAACUGAAACAUCUAAGUACCCCGAGGAAAAGAAAUCAACCGAGAUUCCCCCAGUAGCGGCGAGCGAACGGGGAGCAGCCCAGAGCCUGAAUCAGUGUGUGUGUUAGUGGAAGCGUCUGGAAAGGCGCGCGAUACAGGGUGACAGCCCCGUACACAAAAAUGCACAUGCUGUGAGCUCGAUGAGUAGGGCGGGACACGUGGUAUCCUGUCUGAAUAUGGGGGGACCAUCCUCCAAGGCUAAAUACUCCUGACUGACCGAUAGUGAACCAGUACCGUGAGGGAAAGGCGAAAAGAACCCCGGCGAGGGGAGUGAAAAAGAACCUGAAACCGUGUACGUACAAGCAGUGGGAGCACGCUUAGGCGUGUGACUGCGUACCUUUUGUAUAAUGGGUCAGCGACUUAUAUUCUGUAGCAAGGUUAACCGAAUAGGGGAGCCGAAGGGAAACCGAGUCUUAACUGGGCGUUAAGUUGCAGGGUAUAGACCCGAAACCCGGUGAUCUAGCCAUGGGCAGGUUGAAGGUUGGGUAACACUAACUGGAGGACCGAACCGACUAAUGUUGAAAAAUUAGCGGAUGACUUGUGGCUGGGGGUGAAAGGCCAAUCAAACCGGGAGAUAGCUGGUUCUCCCCGAAAGCUAUUUAGGUAGCGCCUCGUGAAUUCAUCUCCGGGGGUAGAGCACUGUUUCGGCAAGGGGGUCAUCCCGACUUACCAACCCGAUGCAAACUGCGAAUACCGGAGAAUGUUAUCACGGGAGACACACGGCGGGUGCUAACGUCCGUCGUGAAGAGGGAAACAACCCAGACCGCCAGCUAAGGUCCCAAAGUCAUGGUUAAGUGGGAAACGAUGUGGGAAGGCCCAGACAGCCAGGAUGUUGGCUUAGAAGCAGCCAUCAUUUAAAGAAAGCGUAAUAGCUCACUGGUCGAGUCGGCCUGCGCGGAAGAUGUAACGGGGCUAAACCAUGCACCGAAGCUGCGGCAGCGACGCUUAUGCGUUGUUGGGUAGGGGAGCGUUCUGUAAGCCUGCGAAGGUGUGCUGUGAGGCAUGCUGGAGGUAUCAGAAGUGCGAAUGCUGACAUAAGUAACGAUAAAGCGGGUGAAAAGCCCGCUCGCCGGAAGACCAAGGGUUCCUGUCCAACGUUAAUCGGGGCAGGGUGAGUCGACCCCUAAGGCGAGGCCGAAAGGCGUAGUCGAUGGGAAACAGGUUAAUAUUCCUGUACUUGGUGUUACUGCGAAGGGGGGACGGAGAAGGCUAUGUUGGCCGGGCGACGGUUGUCCCGGUUUAAGCGUGUAGGCUGGUUUUCCAGGCAAAUCCGGAAAAUCAAGGCUGAGGCGUGAUGACGAGGCACUACGGUGCUGAAGCAACAAAUGCCCUGCUUCCAGGAAAAGCCUCUAAGCAUCAGGUAACAUCAAAUCGUACCCCAAACCGACACAGGUGGUCAGGUAGAGAAUACCAAGGCGCUUGAGAGAACUCGGGUGAAGGAACUAGGCAAAAUGGUGCCGUAACUUCGGGAGAA